AGUUGCUGCAGUUAAAAAAGCUCGUAGUUGAACGUUCGGGGUUCCGCGGGACGGGGCCGCCCCGCGAGGGACGGCGCCGCCCCGGGGCUCGUGAUAUCUCAUCUCGCCGCCCGUCGCGAGGCGGACGGAGGGAUGGAUGAGGUUACCUGGAAAAAAUCGGGGCGAUCUAGGCGGGCGAACCUCGCCAACGAACGAUCGGACAUGGGAUAACGGAAGAGGGCGUCGGCUCGACUUCGUCGGUUCCUCGGGGCCGAGGCACGUACGGUGAAUAGGGGACGGUCGGGGCCGCCGUACCGGUCGUGAGAGGUGAAAUUCUAGGAUCGACCCGAGACGAACCGCCGCGAAGCAUUCGGCAAGGACGCUUUCAUUAAUCAAGAACGAAAGUCGGGGGAUCGAAGACGAUCAGAUACCGUCGUAGUCCCGACCGUAAACGAUG
rnacentral:rRNA from 1 species